rnacentral:lncRNA from 1 species
CACAUCUGUCACAAAAAAAGAGAAAUAUAGAGAAAAGCAGAGGAAGAGAAAGGGAGUUUUGGCAUCCCUCUCUCCCAUGUGUUGGACUCUGAUUGUGCGCCCAGCACCACCCUUGGCAAGUUACUUGCAUUACUGAUUUAAUCCUCACCUUUGAAGUAGGCAUUUUUGUUAUUCUCACUUACAGAUGAGGGAACUGAAGGUGAGAAUAAAUAACUUGCCCAAGGUGAGAUAACUGGUGCCCAUUACAGCCCACAUUUGAGACCAGGAUGGUCCAACUCCAGAACCCAUUCCCUUCACCAUGAUGUUGCUGAACUACCACCCAAUAGGAGGCACAUGCUCACUGAACCUUGCUGGAGAAAGGGAUCUCCUGGGAUCUUUUAGCUCACCCCUCUGCCUUUGGGGGGAACUUUGGACACAGACAUGCACACCAAAAGGAUGCCAGGUGAAGAUGAAGGCAGAAGCCAGGGUGAUGCUUCUACAAGCCAAGGAAUGCCAAAGACUGGUAGUAAACCACCAGUCUAGCCGAGAGGCCUGGAACAGAUUCUCCUUCACAGCCCUCAGAAGGGACCAAGCUAUACUGACAUCUUGAUCUUGGACCUCGAACCUCCAGAACUGUGAGACAAUAAAUUUCUGGUGUUAAGCCCCCUAGUUUGUGGUACUUUUUUACAGCAGCCCUAGCAAACUAAUACAUCUGCUGAAUUCCAAUGGCUUAAAACAACAGUUUAUUUCUUGCACAUGCUGCAUGCCCAUUUUGAGUUGGCAGGGGGCUCUGGUAUCACAGUCUUUCAGGUACCCAGGCUGAUGGAAUAGCCACC